rnacentral:rRNA from 1 species
GUCCACGCCCUAAACGAUGGGUACUAAGUGUCGGCGGGUUACCGCCGGUGCCGCACCUAACGGAGUAAGUACCCCGCCUGGGGAGUACGGCCGCAAGGUUGAAACUCAAAGGAAUUGACGGGGGCCCGCACAAGCGGUGGUGCAUGUGGUUUAAUUCGACGCAACGCGAAAAACCUUACCCAGGCUUGACAUGCUAGUGGUAAAACCGGAACGGGGAUGACCCUGAAAGGGGAGCUAGCACAGGUGCUGCAUGGCUGUCGU